rnacentral:rRNA from 1 species
UUUGAUCCUGGCUCAGGAUGAACGCUAGCUACAGGCUUAACACAUGCAAGUCGAGGGGAAACGACAUCGAAAGCUUGCUUUUGAUGGGCGUCGACCGGCGCACGGGUGAGUAACGCGUAUCCAACCUGCCCAUCACUUGGGGAUAACCUUGCGAAAGUAAGACUAAUACCCAAUGAUAUCUCUAGAAGACAUCUGAAAGAGAUUAAAGAUUUAUCGGUGAUGGAUGGGGAUGCGUCUGAUUAGCUUGUUGGCGGGGUAACGGCCCACCAAGGCGACGAUCAGUAGGGGUUCUGAGAGGAAGGUCCCCCACAUUGGAACUGAGACACGGUCCAAACUCCUACGGGAGGCAGCAGUGAGGAAUAUUGGUCAAUGGGCGAGAGCCUGAACCAGCCAAGUAGCGUGCAGGAUGACGGCCCUAUGGGUUGCAAACUGCUUUUAUAAGGGAAUAAAGUGAGUCUCGUGAGACUUUUUGCAUGUACCUUAUGAAUAAGGACCGGCUAAUUCCGUGCCAGCAGCCGCGGUAAUACGGAAGGUCCGGGCGUUAUCCGGAUUUAUUGGGUUUAAAGGGAGCGUAGGCCGGAGAUUAAGCGUGUUGUGAAAUGUAGACGCUCAACGUCUGCACUGCAGCGCGAACUGGUUUCCUUGAGUACGCACAAAGUGGGCGGAAUUCGUGGUGUAGCGGUGAAAUGCUUAGAUAUCACGAAGAACUCCGAUUGCGAAGGCAGCUCACUGGAGCGCAACUGACGCUGAAGCUCGAAAGUGCGGGUAUCGAACAGGAUUAGAUACCCUGGUAGUCCGCACGGUAAACGAUGGAUGCCCGCUGUUGGUCUGAAUAGGUCAGCGGCCAAGCGAAAGCAUUAAGCAUCCCACCUGGGGAGUACGCCGGCAACGGUGAAAC